CUGUCGUACAGUCAGUCUGUUUCCUUAAGACUACAGACCCAGUCCUCCCCCCACCUCAACACACACAACAGCCCCGAGUCACUCAGCUGGGAGAACCUCAGCCUCUCAGACCCACUGGAACUGACCUGGAGUCAGGCUCACGUCACAAAUAGCACCUUAUCCCCCUAUAUAUAAGUGCACUAGUUUCGACCAGAGCUUUUGGCCAUAGGUCUCUGGUCAACAGUAAUCCCCUACAUAAUGAAUAGGUUGCUAUUUGGGAUACACCCUCAGUCAGACCUGAACGGCUACAGGAAGUGGCAACAGACCGAGACACAGAACAAAACAAGAUGGAGGAAUCUGACCACAGAACAGACGUUAUGUGAAGACACUAAAAAGAGUCGUACCAGAAUGCCGAAAAAUAAACAUGUUGCUUUGGACCUUUUUUGAAGAGUAUCCUGACUGAUUCAGAACUAGCCUUUCAUCCCAGGGUAUAACAGAAC
ensembl:lncRNA